rnacentral:rRNA from 2 species
UACGGAGAGGGCUAGCGUUAUUCGGAAUUAUUGGGCGUAAAGGGCGCGUAGGCGGAUUAGUAAGUUAAAAGUGAAAUCCCAAGGCUCAACCUUGGAAUUGCUUUUAAAACUGCUAAUCUAGAGAUUGAAAGAGGAUAGAGGAAUUCCUAGUGUAGAGGUGAAAUUCGUAAAUAUUAGGAGGAACACCAGUGGCGAAGGCGUCUAUCUGGUUCAAAUCUGACGCUGAGGCGCGAAGGCGUGGGGAGCAAACAGG